GAUGCUGCAGUGGAGCAGGUUCCUGCAUUGAAGCACCUCCUGCAGUGGAGCAUCUCCUGCAGUGGAGCAUCUCCUGCAGCUGCAGGGAAAGUUCAAGCCUCCACCAUCUCCUCGGGCAGCGUGUCCCAGAUUGCAACCACCCUCUGGAUUUUCAGCAUCUGCGGUUCUUUGCUUUACACGUUGAUUUUGAUGUUGUGACCGGCCAACAACGAAUCAAAGGAGAUCAGAUACGCGGUGUCGUAAUCUACUGGGAUUCAAGUAACUAACUGUGGAAGUCAGAGAACCAGUUGUGACUGUGAGACGUGGUGUUGUGUUGGAAGCACACAGAUGGCCUGGGAUGUUCAUUAGAUGCAUCAAGAAGUUGCUAUGGAGACGGUGCAGGACGUUCCCCCCGGUUACGGCAGGGUUCCCUUCCUGGGAACCGUUCCCAAGCGGAACAUGCGUCCGUGAACAGAGUUCCCACACGGCAGAAGAUGCCUGCAGCCCCGCAGCAGCCGGUAAAUCCAUCCCACCGUCUCCCAGACACUCGCUCAUGUGUACGGGCUGUACUUUACUGUGUCCGUAAGCUGGGGACGAUCUACACCUCAAACAAGUCAACUCGGGGCUGGACAACGAUUAAAGAUAAAGACGGAACAAAGAAAUAAUGACAGAAAAUGCUCUAAAUACUCAGCCGGUCGGGCAGCAUCUUGUGGAGAAAGAAACAGUUCAUGUUUCACGCUCCUGUAGAAACAGGCCCUUCGGCCCAACUUGUCCAUGCUGACCAAGAUGCCUCCUCUAAGCUGAUCCUAUUUGCCCACGUUUGGCCCAAAGCCCUCUGACCUUUCUUCCCCAUGUUGAAACACCUUCUGAAAAAUGUCUUCUCAGAUCAAUGACCGUUCAUCAGAACUGAUGCAGUCACAUAAUGUGGCCAGUUCUGAUACAAAAUGGAAAGGCUGGUUAUCUGAAAUUGCCCGUAUUAAUGAUAACUUCAAGGGCUGCACCACACUGAAACGUGGUGCUGUUCCGCAAGAUGUUGUCGGCUUCGAUGGAACAAUUGGAACGGCUUCAUUUGGGGCGGCACGGUGGUGCAGCGGUAGAGUUGUGGCCUUAUAGCACCAGAGACCCAGGUUCGAUCCUAACUAUGGGUGCUGUCUGU